AAAUGACUUGAAGAAAAUAAGGACAUUAUAGCAUCAGAUAGAGAAAUGUGGGUUUUGCCUGGAAAGUACACAGUUGUUUGGGCACUGCUGCAUGUAAACUUAAUGAUUAGUAUACCUGAUUUAACUGAAGUACUAUCCUGCUGUAAACAGGUGAUGGAAUUUGUACUGCAAUGGUUUAAAACACCACCACCACCACCAACAAAGAACAACUGAAUUUCCUCGGUUCCUGUCAGCCAUUCUUUAUGGGUCUCAAAGAAUCCUUCACUAAACCCCAUCCUCCACCUGAAGUUCUCAGAAGUUCCAGAAAUAGAUCAGCUUCACUUGAGGAAGGCAGAGAAUUAUAAUGAAUCUUCUCAAGGAUUGUCAGCUGCAGCCAGAAUGAAUUACAAAGAAAGAGGUGAUGUCCUGAAAACCCAGAAGAUAAUUAGCCAUGCUCUUCACUCUUGUAAUGUCAGCAAAAUGAUACAAUCCAAUUAAAGCAAAGGAGGUGUGCUGUGCUUCAGAACAGAGUUCAUCCACUCUUUGUUUGCUUUCACGGUGUUUUAUAUUACAAACUUGGCGCGAUUAACUUUUAUAUGCACAGAAGCUAUGCUUGUAUGGGGAAGCAUUUGAGUGAGAGCAAAAUCAAAGUUUUAAUCCCUUACUACAGCUGGAUUUGAAAAUGCAUCCCGAGGUGCAUUGAAGCAGUGUAACUGAUCUUCAGGGAAAAAAAAACAACAACUACAAAAACAAAACAAAAAGCAAACAAACAAAAAACCCAAAACACUGUGUUGGCAUUUAUGAUACUUUACAACUGCAUAGUGAUCUUUUUCUUGAAUGUUAGAAGAGGGAACCAAUAGCGUAUAUAUUAUAAUUUCAGUAUAAAAUGCCUAAUACAUUUUACAAUUAAACUUCAUCUCAUCAAGUCUGUCAUCACCUCCAUGUUUCCACCCAUCAUUUUUUGUCCUGUCCCACCUCAGAGUCUCCCCAUAACACUUUCUUCUACUCACGGUUGCCAAACCCUCAAGCUCUGUAAUAAGCAAUGUUUUAAACUCAUUAUCUGAAGACUGAGAUUUGUAAUUCCUAAGUGACAAGGCCCUUGUAAUGAGGCACGUGGAUACAUGCAUUAUGGGACAACCGCUGCCUUGUUAUGUGAUAACUGUGCCUUUGAUAUUCAGUGUUUUUUUUUAAUUGAAAAACAUAACUAAUCUUACUUUCUGGUCUGUAGUUCAGUUGGUGAACUAUGGUAGCUUCAUCUUUGUAAGCAGCUUAGUAAGAAGCUCAGAAAGAUGAAGCUGCCAUUUUUUACCAUAUAGUUUUAAAGUUCUGUAAAGAAUGUUGACUAUAGGAAAAAAAAAUUGUCAUGAGCAAGGCUGAGGAAAACAAAUUAGUCUUAAUUGCUGGGAUCUUUAGCAAAGUUGUAUGAGUUCCCUACAUACUGUUUUAGCUCUAAAGUAGAGCUAACCUAUUAGGAUGGCAAGGACGGCCAGCAUUAAUCAUUCUCAAUUUUGCCAUCUGUAACUCAUCAAAAUGGUUUUUAUUGUAUGUGUUUGGUCAAUCUUACUGCUGUUUGUGAUCUUGGGAAUGCAAUUCCCCGCAAAGAGUGGCUAUUGAUAUUUUCCAUGCUAAGGCACACUUCAAAGAUAUUAUUUUAGAGUGGUUAGCAUAGUUCUGCAAACUCUUGAGCAGACAUUCUGUAUAAUAGAAUUAACAUGACAAGCUGGGGUGUUCCACAGUGAAAUUCCAGAUUGGAACUGAGACUGUCAUUUACAUCACAUCACAGACAGUGAAAGAAAAUAAUC
rnacentral:lncRNA from 7 species